ensembl:lncRNA
UACCGGUUCGCUUUGCGCCCUCCUCCUCCUCCCGCGAACGGGGCUCCGGCGCUCCCACAAUGCACCGGGCGCGGCCGGGCUCCCUUAAGCGUCGCCUGAAUAAAAAUGCCGCUCCCGGCGGCGGAGGGCGGGAGGGCCCGGGCCGCGCCUGGGCGCCGCGGGGGCUCGGCCUGGCUCGGCGGGCCCCUGCCGGGAACGGGGCCGCCGCGCUCCGCCGUGCGCCGCGCGCGAGGGGCCUUUAAGGGCCGGCUACCUCCCUUUAAGAGGCGGCGGGCCGCGGCCGGAGCGGCUCGGUGGCUGCGUGCGGCCCGGGAAGGGGGCGGGGGCGAUGUGCAGGCCCGAGCGCGGCAAUGAUUGGUCUCGGGGGAGGGGUGGGGGGUUGCAAACCCGAGGAGCGGUGGCAUCCGUUGCAUGAUGCAAAAAGGAUUGAUUUCAAAAGUUGCGAGUUGCAUUGGCAGCAGCCUUUGGCGCCCAGGCCACCUACUUUUCCUUGACCCGCUGGAAGGGCCGGGAAUGUUUUCCCGAACCUGCCCGGGCUCAACCGCGCUACGCUCUGCGGGACGCUGUACCUGCUCCCCGAGCGCUCGCGUCGCGUUGUCCUGGAAGACAAUGAGCGUGGAAACAAUUUGAAAAAGACAGGGAGCAGAGGAAAGACCCGGAGCAGUGUAGCCGCCUCUGCUACACUGAAAGAUUUAAAAACAACCGGCGCGAUUGAUUAAUAAUGACUUCCAUGUCUCUUCCCUUCUAUUGUUUAGCCCGGCUCGGGAGUUAAGAUGAGCCUUGAUGAAUAUGCAAACGUCCUGCAGUUUCUGGAACCUUUAAUGUGCUUGGUAGGAAGUCAGAGCUUAAGGUUCCUCAGUUACAUUGUUUGCUCUCCACAUGUCCAAGUAAACAUGGCAGCCUAAUAGCGUAUGGGUUCGAAUUAACACCGAUAGGAGAGCUUCGGCUUGUGAAAUUACUUUUUCCAGGUUUUCAACUUCCUAAUGCACUGCUGGUUGAAAUAAAGCGAAAAUGCUUUCGUACUGCAUCACUUAGGGCUUCCCUUAAAACCGAGGAGUGUGGAGGAACGCCAACCAAACUUUUCCAGAGUGGUGCAGCGUUGUCCAAAUGUAUUUCUGAGCAGAACUGUUGUUGGUAACCGAACGGUGCUUUAGGUUGCGCGUCAGCUUUGCGGGCUGCGCAGAUGCCUUUUUAAUUCUUUAAAAUUUCUGCUUGACAUUCCCCCAGGGUUUUUAUCUAAGUGAGGAUCCAAAAAGUGAUGCAACCUAGAAGACCAGGUUGAUAGCAGCUUCUCCACGCUGUGUCCUUUCUCUGUACUACCGUAAGUUAGGAAAGAAUGUGGUCGCCUGGGUUCUUUAAUGUGAUUUAUGGACUCUUGUAAGAAUGGCAUCACCUUGUGGUUGACAAACCUGCAUUUGCCUCUGAAUCACCUGGGAAGACAGGUCCACACAACCCCAGGCAACACUCCAGACUCCGGCAUCAAGGAAGAAGGGUAGAUAUCUUUAUUCCCCUCCUCCCUUCCCUUUUAAAAUUGAUUUUGUAACUUGUUGUGGGGUUUUGGUUUUGUGUGUUUGUUUUUUAGCAAAAAAAGUCACAACUAGAAAAAAAUAAUUGGGGCGAUUAGGAGGAAGAUGAUGCAACAGAAGUGAGUAGGGCCCUCUGUGAAGAUGCCUGGGUCACGCCAGGGAGUUUAGUAUUUUUGCUGUAAUCAGCAGAGCUUAUCAGAUUUGCUUUUUACAAGUUUAGCUUGUAAUGGGGGCUGUACCACAUCUGGGAGGAUGCCCUCUCCUGGAGGGGAAACCAGGACCACAUCUCCAGUUAGCAGGUAAUUGUGCUAGUCAAGCAUGGAGUCAAGGAUAUUGGAACUGAAGCAGUGGGAAAGCAGACAAGGAAAGGGAUUUGAGGUGAGUUCAUGUGUGGUUGGAGAAAGAAGCAUAAGAUGACCCCCACGUUUCUCGCUUGGGGGCCCUGGGUGGGAGGUGAUGCUACCAACUGAAAUAGGAACUGCUGAAAGACAAACAAGUUUUGGGGUGAGUUCCGGUUUGGAAAUGUUAAAUUUCAGGGGCCUCCCAGAUAUUCUAGGCAGAAGGCAGUUGGUAAAACUAGGUCUGGCGCCUGGGAUGGGGGUGAGCUCUGACUUUGAGAUGCAAAUGUGGGUGCCAUCAGCAUAUAAAUGGACUUUGACGCCUCGGAAAGUGGUGAGACGAACCAGGAGGGAGAGAGUUCAGGAAAAAAGUGAAAGAGACCUUGGACAGAGCCCUGCGGAGCUCCAAAAUGGGAUGGCUGGGCCAGCGAGCGAGAGGCUGACUGCUGCUGGGUCUGUGGGAGGUUAGCAUGCUCAGAAUCAUUCCUCCCCCAGCCCUGGGGGCUGCAGCUCCAGAACAACUUUAGUCAUAGUCUCCUGAGUGGAGGCUAUAGAUUCUUGGCUAAGCCACAAACACCUGGAUUCAUCUGGAGCUAGUCUGCAACUUUGCGGCUGGAUAUCCCACCAGAUCUCUGUCUCUCCCUUCCUUUGUUAUAAACGCCAGCCUCACUCUGUGCUUCCCUUUGUUGCCUUCUUUCUCCUGCCAUCCUUUCCAUGAGCCUUCCCCAGCGGCCUCAUCAGAGCCCCAUUCCAUUGGGAACCAUCUCCCCUGAGUUCUCAGGUCCUCCUGGCUCCACUUGAAAGAUGGUUCCCCUGGGUUGAAUUACUUGCUGGAGGUUUGUUAAAAAUACAAAUUCACCAGCCCCACUCCAAAGAUUAUAUCCAGCAGGUGUAAUGGGUUGAAUUAUGAUAAAGAUUCUUUGCUUGACCAAACUUUAGUCGGGCUCCUGAAACUUCUCCUAGGCCCAACUGUACACUUCCUUGUAAAAUCCAGUUUUGGCAAGAUGGGUAUCUGAUCACCUGGCCUGCCUUCAGCAAGAGUCCUGGUAGGUCGGUUUAGACAGGAUCCCCCUCAGCCCUGAUGUCUCUUAGUCCUUUCCCAUCCACUGACCGCCAACCUGCUCCUUGGCUGCAAAUUCCCACUUGCCCAUGCUGUAUUCAGAGUUGAGCAUAGUCUCUCUCCCCCACUGCAAAAUUCCAGCACAGUGGCCCUAUACUUAUUGCAAUAGUCCUGAAUAAAGUCUGCCUUACCAUCUUUAACAAGUGUGACAAAUAGUUUUUUCUUUAAUAAUUGUGCCCCCCUCCUACCCCCCCCCCAAAAAAGAUAUGUUGAAGUCCUAACCUCGAGUACCUAUGAAUGGGGCCUUAUUUGGAAAGAAGAUCCUUGCAGAUGUAAUCAAGUUAAGAUGAAGUCAUACUGGAUUAGGAUGGGCCCUAAAUCCAAUGAGCUAUAACAAAAGGAAGAUUUGGAGACAGAGACCCAGGGAAGAAGGCCACAUGAAGAUGAGGCAGAGAUUGGAGUCAGGCAGCUACAAGCCAAGGAACACCGAGGAUUACUGGCGACCACCAGAAGUAGGAAGAUACCCUCCCAGAAACAUCAGAGAGGCCAUGGCCCUGCCAACACCUUGAUUUGUGACUUCCGGCCUGCUGAGCUGUGAGAGAAUACAUUUCUGUUGUUUUACGCCACCCAGUCUGUGGUAUGUGUUACAGCAGCCACAGGAAACCAAUAUAGCGUGUCUGAGGUGUACGUUGGGGGACGAGGUGCUAAGAAUCCAUGCUUUGGAUGGGCUCACCUGGUGGUGGUGGUGCUUUAGGGGAACACUGCACUAAAGAAUGCUGCUUUCUCAGAAACCCAGAGGGCAGGAGGCUGCCCGUUCAUCUGCUUCCCACGUUCUGCUAGCUUCGGUGACGUUACUUUCCCUCUGUCCUGCCUUUCUCAUGUCCCGCCUGUCUUUCGGGUUCUUGCUAUCCAGCGUUACACCAUCUGAUGCCACACUGGUCACUUCCUUACGUUGUUUGAGUCAUGCUCAUUCAGAUAUGGCCCCUGAUCUGUGAUCAUGGGGGGUGGUGGGAGUGUCCAAUCAGAGCUAAGACCCGGUGGGCAAUGGACACAUCAUAUUAUUAAAUUUAGCUUUACUCCACAUAAGCUGCCCAUUCUCGUGGCUAUACUGUGAACCUCCUCAUUCCUAGAAAUCUUAAACACCAACAUCCUGUCUUCAAUCCUAUAGUCCUCUCAUUGCUUUACUCCCUGACACCUGCACAUCAACUGCAUAGUGGCCGCCAGUCUCUCUCCUUCCAUCCAGCCUGGAUCCCUUGGUCAGCUCAGCAGCCUGGUCCCCUGCACCUCCCCUUCUUUGACCACACCCACCCACAAACAUGCAGCCUUAGGUCCCUCCCACCUGCCAUGUUCUCUGCCCUUUUGCUGGGCUGGAGAAAACGUAGAACUUGGAGACCAUGCCAUUACAGAUGUGUGAUCUCCAGUGCCACCUGGGCCUUUCUGACAGCUGGAAAAUCCUUAAGUAUGUUAUUCCUAAUGUUCGUUAUUCUCCCCGAAGUUUAUACCACAGUUUACUGCCCUCAGUGGCAGAUGCAUCUCAAGAAGAAAAUGUACACCAUGGGAGGGAGCCUCCAACUUUCCCAUACCGUUCCCAUCCCACCCCUUGGACCAGCACGCCAGUGUCUGGGAGGGAGGACCACUUCUGAAUGUCCAAGGCUGGUCCCCUGCCUGUGCUCCAGCUGCCACCCUUCCAACAAUAGCUAACUUUUGUUGAGGACUUGCUACGUAUCUACGUAUGUAUCCCACUGUACAGAGUGUUUUCUGACCAUCACCUCUUAGAAUUCUGGCAACAUCCCCUUGAGGUAAGUCCUAUUGUAUAUUUUCCUUUCCUGGAGGAAAGCAGGGCUCAGACUGAUUAAGCAGCUUGCCCAAAGUCACUGUCUUACUUUGGGUCCCCCCCCCCAACCCGGGCAGAACUGGAGACAAGGACUUGGGGGAAGGAAGUCUUCAGAAGGUAGUUUCAGGAAGCACAAGUCAAGAAGUGGGCAAAAUAAGACAGGAAAGGGAGAAAGCCAAAAAGCAUGUAAAUGAUUAGGUUAGCACAGUGGGUAGUGGGGCUCAGCCCUGUUGGCGCCUCUCUCAGAAACUGUGUGGAACCCCCUCUGGUUGGCGGAAUAAUGCACCUCCUGCCCCCAGAAGAUUGUCUAUGUCCCAUUCCCCGGAACCUGUGAAUAUAUUAUGUUCCAAGGUAAAGAGGAAUUGAGUUUGCUAAUCAGUUAACCUUAAGGAGAUUAUUCUGGGUUAUAUGGGUGGGCCCAGUGUAUCCACAAGCGUCCUUAAAAGUGGAAGAGGGAAUAGAGAACAGAGCGAUGUCAGCCUGAGAAGGAUCUGGCCCGACAUCGCCGGCUUUGAAGAUGGAGGAAGGGGCAUGAAUCAAAGAAAACAGGAGCCUUCUGGAAGCUGGAAAAGGUAAGGAAACAGCUUCUCCUCUAGAGCCUCCACAAGGAAUGACCCCUGCUGGUACCUUGGUCUUGGCCCAGUGAGAUCCGUGUCAGAUUCUGAUCCGCAAAACUGUCAGAUUGUAAAUGUGUGUUGUUUCAAACUGCAAAGUUUGUGGUAAUUUGUCCCAGCAGCAAUAGAAAACGAAUACAUCUCCUUAAAAUCACGCCACUGGCAGGCUGGAAGGCUGAGGCACUCAUCCAUGGACUCUCAUCUUUCAUUGGCUGAGGGUUGCCCCUGGGGCAGUGGACGGAGACUCAGAACUUCCUGCCCUGGAGAAGCAGCCCUGGAGGACCAGGCAGGCAGGUGAUGGAGGUGGAACACUGCCAGUGGGCUGGAAACUCUCCCCAACGCUUCAGGUGAAACCAGAAGCAGGCUGGGCAUUGAUGGUGUCGACAGCCUCUGCCACAGGGCCCAGCUGUAAGCAGUCAAGCCAGGAUUGGAACGGGGUUAAGUGUGGAGCCCACGUGCCUAGCCUAGGACUUCCCUGUGGCAUUUGAGGCCAUGACAUAGGAGGCUCAAGGGCUAUUUCUACUAGACAGUGCUAUUCCGGAGGACUCCCCCAUCCCCAGAGCCCCAGACACAGACAUUCACCACUUAGGUGGCUCUCGUUGCCUCUGGCUCCACUUUUCCAGUUGCGGUUCUCACUCAUGGGUGUGCACGGAUGAUCGUAGGUGGACAAAAAGGGAGUCAACUUAAAGAAAAAUUUAAAGAAACAAGAGCACAGCCUAAAGUGAUAGCAUUGGUCAAGUAAAUAAUAGCUACAGGAUAAAUUUCAGAAAAAUACAAACAACCUGCAUGAUCCAGCUUCUCCUUUUCCUCUCUGAUCUGAUCUCCGGAAGGUGCCCGCUUUCUCUUCUUCAGCCACACAGCCAUACUGAGUGCAUCCACACCCCCAGGCUCACCUGCUCUUUCUCCACUUUGCGUCUUGGCAAGCACCAUAUCUUUGCUUGUACCACCUCGUCUCCCUUUCUGGCAAAGGAAAACCAAACUUGUAAGAUUCUGCUCCAAGAGCCUUCCCUCUGAAGAGUUCUCUGGCUACUUCGGGGGAACAACCACCCCAUCUGUGGUAGGCAGAAUAAUGGCCCCUCAAAGAUGUCCACAUCCUAAUCACCCAUGAAUAUGUUACCUUGCGCGGCAAAAGGGACUUUGCAGAUGUGACUAAGUUAAGGAGUUUUUGAUGAGAAGAUUAUCCUGCAUUAUCUGGGUGAACAAGUGCAACCACCAGCAUCUUUUUAAGGAAAAAAGGAAGACAAGAGGAUAGAAAGAGAUGUGACAAAGGAAGCAGAGGUCAGAGUGAACUGGGGCCACCAGCCAAGGAAUGUGGGCAGCUUCCAGAAACUGGAAAAGGCAAGGAAAUGGAUUCUGCCCAAGAGACUCCAGAAGGAACACAGCCCUGCCAACCCAUUUUGGUCCUCGUCGUGGAACCUAUCCUGCUGAUUUGCAGUUCUUAUUCCAUAUAACUAAUCUCUCCUCCACAAUUCCACCCCUCCUCCAGAAGCCAUGAGCUCCUUGUAGAGACUGUGUCAUGUGUAUCUUUGCGGUAGGAAUGGCAGGAGAGUGGUAUUCUGGAAUUUGGGGACAAAGAAUUUAAGAAGGUAGGAGGAGUCAACAUUGUCAAGUACUACAGAAAAGUGAGGCAAGAUAAGGACCGAAAAUAGAUCAUUGGAUUUAAGAGGUCCCUAGUGGCCUUGGGAGAAGAUACUCACAUGCAGACGCCAGAGUGGAAGAUGAUGUAGUGGGCUGAUGAGUGAGUGGGAGUUGAAGAAGUGGAGAUAAUGAGCAUAAACACCUCUUUUAAGAGAUGUGUUGGAGAAGAAGAAGAGAGGACAUUCACCUGAGAGGGAAGAGAAGGAGUUUGUUUUUUAGAACCUCAAAAUCUUGGAGAGGUAUGUACGCCAAAGCGAAGCAGUCAAAGCAGAAGAGACUAAAGAUAUGAGAAUGGGAAGUGACAGGGAGAUGAAGAUCCAAAAGACAGGGAGGAGGAGAGGGAUUCUGGCGUGCGGACCGAGGCAGAAGAGGAAGCGAGGACGGGGGCUCUGGGAGGAAAGAACACUGUGGGAAAAAGCAGAUUAUUUUUCUUUCUUGCAUUUUUCACAUCCCUCUCUCUUCCUGUCUCCACUGAUUAAAAUGAGUGAUGUUGCACAUAAUUCCAAAAAAUGCAUAGACCACCCCCUCCCAAAUCCUGAGACCUUGAUAUCCAUCCACUCGUGAUAACUUAUCCUGUUCUUCCCUUGAACAUUCCGUUCCCUCUUUUUUUUUUUAAGGAAAGCUGCUCUUGCCUUCUAGCCAGAUAUGCUCUCCCCAUUUCCAGCUUCCUGUCCUUUGGGUAUUCUGCAAUAUAAUGAAUGAACAGUCUUGAUCGCCUUGGUUCGGGUGCAUCCCUUCACAUAUUUCUGAAUUACUUGUCACUGGCUCUCCUCUGUGCCCCAGGUUUAAGAUCCUCUGCCACGGUCGCAUUGUAAUAAAUAAUGAUUGUUAGAAGCCAAAUUUUCUCUAGUAUUUGGUGCAGGGAGAAGUAAGGAAGGGAGAGAUGCAGAAGAGAAAGGUUGGGAAGACGGUGUGUGUGCAUGUAUGUUUCAGGCUUGCUGUCUAUUUCCUGCUCUAAUAAUUUGUUAAAUAAAAAAUUGGCUCCAGACUUAAGUCCUAAGUGAACUAGAGUUCACUGUUCUCCAAGCAAAGAAGCAGCUAUUUAUUCACAUUCGUUGUUCUCAAUGCUUAAUCCACGGCAGACUUUACCCUUGGCCCCCAAAUAACACCAUCUUCCUUAAUUAUCUCCUCUGGUCAGAGGCCACUUGGGAAAAGAAUCGCAAAUUGAGCUCAUCCUGCCCAACGGUUACUGUCCUCGUCUGCCACUUACACUGUUAGCAAUGUGCUUGGCAUAUGCUGAGAACGGCUCAAGGGUGGACCCAGCCUCAGCGCCUCCAGACUCGAAACUAGACAGGAUACAAGAGGAGAAAUAAUAAAUAAAUAACGGCAGAGGCAAAAAGAGGUUUCAUUUUAAAUCUCCCAGAGCCCCCACAUCUGGAACACAGGGACCAUGUCUGGUUUUGGAUGUUGUUGAGGUUUGGCCUUCUUUAGCUCGAAUUCCUCUGAGCAAAGCUGAUCCCCCUCUGUCCUUCGUGGUGAGCGAGAGUGUUUCCAUUUCGAUGCUUUGCAUGCAGAUCCAAGCAGCACAUGGGUGGCGGUACUGGAUAAGCGCUAAGUUCCUUUUCGGCCUGAAGAUUCUGUGAUCCCAUUGAGGGGAAAGUGCACCCUUGACAAUUUAUUGGUGGUAAUUUCCUGUGUUCAUUCUGGCUUCCAGUUGAUUCUACUUUUCUGUAUAUUGCUCAAAUCCAUUCACUUUUGUUCUUCUCUGCUGGUUCUUCCUAAAUUCACAUUUCAUUUGCCUGAAUGAUUUGCAAGAUCUCAGCUAUGGACUGAAGGUUUGUAACCUCCCCAAAUUCACAUAUGGAAGCGCUCCCCCCUCAAUGUGAUGGUGUUAGGAGAUGGGGCUUUUGGGAAGCGAUUAGGUUUAGAUGAGGUGUGGAGGGUGAGGGCCCCUGUGGUGGGAUUAGUGCCCGUAGAAGAGGAAGAGAACAGAGCUUUCUCUCUUUCUGCCACGUGAGGACACAGCAAGAAGGUGACCAUCUGCAAGUACGAAGAGGGGCCUCACCAGACACCAAAUCUGCAUCAUGAUCUUGGACUUCCCAGCCUCCAGAACUGAGAGAAAUAAAUAUUUGUUGUUUAAGCCCCGGAGUCUAGGGUAUUUUGAUAGAGCAGCCCGAACUGCCUAGCACUGUCUCCAGCUGCUUCCACUCUUGUUGCAGCCCUCUUACACAUCUCCCCUGUUCCAUCCUGAAGCACAAUGCAGAUAACGCCACACCCCAGCCUGAAAACCCAGAGGGCCCCUCACUGCCUAUGGAGUCAGGCCCACAUCUUUUAACCCAGGUAGCCAUGCUUGACCAGUGGUAAAUUACUCAUCAGCCCCAUUGUUAUUAACACCCAAUGUCAAGACUCUAAGACGCCACCUGGCUGCCAAAAGAAAGUCCUGCCUUUUGCAGUGCCUCCCUCUCUGAAAGUCCUGGAGAUGUCCAAGGUGCUUCUAUUUCCUGCAGGUCAAGCCUAGUUACUGGUCCCUCUGUCGCCCUUUGCACAGCCAAUGCCGGACACUCUUGACACGAAAGGUGAAUGCCAGAGACCUGCAGUGGUCAAGAACGUGAGAGCCAGUGUGUCUCCCAUUUUUUGAGCUUUAACUUAAAAACAUUAAAAACGCCACCGAUGAAACACCAAUGGUUUCCAAGUAGUUAGUAAAGAAAUUGUAUUCAUACCAAAAAAAUAAAAUAAAAAUGCCCUAAAUUGCAAACAGAAGUGGUAUAAUUAAAGUAUAUAUAUUUAAUAAAUUAAUGCUUUUCACACACACAAAAAUCAAUGCAAUAUGAUUGUACUAGUUAUAGGAUAAUUAGAGGUUUUAUAGAGGAAGAAUAAAUCUUUACACUUAUAUAAGAAAGUAUAAGAGUUUAUCUUUGUGUCCUUAGAGCAAGAGGAAUUUCUUAAAUAAGACAAAAAAACGCAAAUCAAGAGGGAAAUAGCCUUACAUUUGGCUAUAAUAAUACUUAAAACUUCUAUGUAAUAAAAAUAUACUUAAACCAAGUUAUGGGCAAGCCACAGACUGGGAGUAGAUAUUCGUAAAGCAUAAUCAACAAAGGAACAAUUUAUAGAAUAUGUAAAGAAUGCAUACAAAUCAAUAAGAAGAAAAAAACAAUCCAAUAGAAAAAAUGGUGAAGUUCCAAAGAGGGAAUUCACAAAAGAGGACAUCUGAGUGGCUAAUAAAUACAUGAAAAGACGUUCAAUCUCAUCAGUAAUCAGGAGAAUGAAAAUUAAAACGAGAUGCUAUUUUAAAGCCACUAGAUUGGCAAGAAUUAAAAGUCCAGCAAAACUAAAUGCUGUAAAAAUGUGGGGGAAUUGGGGCUGUCUUAUGGUGGUAGCAGGAAUGGAAGACAUUAAAACCUUUUUGGAGGGCAAGUGAAUGUUCUCCGGUAAAGUCAAAGAUGUAUAUAUCCUCUGACUCAUUAAUUCCUCUUCCAGGAGAAUGUGCACAAAGAGACACAUACAAGGAUAGUUGUCAUAGCUAAAAAUGGGAAAUCAUUUAAAUUUCCAUCAAUACAGGAGUGGGAAAAUGUUGCAUAUUCAUAUCAUGGAAUACUAUAUAGCAGUUAAAAUGACUUAAAAACCCUCUAAAUAUAUCAACAUGAAGGAAUCUUAAAAUGUAACGUUAAUGGAGUUAUUGUUAAACAGGUAUGAAGUUUCAUUCCAGGAAGAUGAAAAAGUUUGGGACAGGGCUGGUGGUGAUGGUCACACAAGGUGAAUGUGGUUAAUGCCAUUGAACUGUAUACUUAGAAAUGGUUAAAAUGGUAAAUUUUAUGUUAUGUAUAUUUUACCACAUUAAAAAAGAAAAUCAUAAUGAACAGAAAAAGUGCACCGUGAAAUGCAUUAGGUGGCACAUUCAUGACAUUUAAAGACUUUAGAUAAUACUACUACAUACUUAUGGAAUCUGCAUGUAUAUGAUAAAUAUAUAAAGACGAAGAUGAGAAGGAGUCUCAGAUGCAAGACAUUGACUUCUGGGAACGAGAGGAGGAAAGUCUGACUUGGUGGCUAUGCUUGAAUUCUAUC